AGUGAACGCUGGCGGUAGGCCUAACACAUGCAAGUCGAACGGCAGCACAGGAGAGCUUGCUCUCUGGGUGGCGAGUGGCGGACGGGUGAGGAAUACAUCGGAAUCUACUCUGUCGUGGGGGAUAACGUAGGGAAACUUACGCUAAUACCGCAUACGACCUACGGGUGAAAGCAGGGGAUCUUCGGACCUUGCGCGAUUGAAUGAGCCGAUGUCGGAUUAGCUAGUUGGCGGGGGAAAGGCCCACCAAGGCGACGAUCCGUAGCUGGUCUGAGAGGAUGAACAGCCACACGGGAACUGAGACACGGACCAGACUCCUGCGGGAGGAAGCAGUGGGGAAUAUUGGACAAUGGGCGCAAGCCUGAUCCAGCCAUACCGCGUGGGUGAAGAAGGCCUUCGGGUUGUAAAGCCCUUUUGUUGGGAAAGAAAUCCAGCUGGCUAAUACCCGGUUGGGAUGACGGUACCCAAAGAAUAAGCACCGGCUAACUUCGUGCCAGCAGCCGCCGUAA
rnacentral:rRNA from 1 species